AUACGGAGGGUGCAAGCGUUAUCGGGAAUCAUUGGGUUUAAAGGGUCCGUAGGCGGGCUAAUAAGUCAGGGGAGAAAUCCCACAGCUUAACUGUGGAACUGCCCUUGAUACUGUUGGUCUUGAGUUACAGUGAAGUGGUUAGAAUGUGUAGUGUAGCGGUGAAAUGCAUAGAGAUUACACAGAAUACCGAUUGCGAAGGCAGAUCACUAACUGUAUACUGACGCUAAUGGACGAAAGCGUGGGGAGCGAACAGGAUUAGAUACCCUAGUAGUCC
rnacentral:rRNA from 1 species